GGGUGCAGCAGGCGCGAAAACUUUACAAUGCGGGAAACCGUGAUAAGGGGACACCGAGUGCCAGCAUCAUAUGCUGGCUGUCCAGGUGUGUAAACUACACCUGUUAGCAAGGGCCGGGCAAGACCGGUGCCAGCCGCCGCGGUAACACCGGCGGCCCGAGUGGUGAUCGUGAUUAUUGGGUCUAAAGGGUCCGUAGCCGGUUUGGUCAGUCCUCCGGGAAAUCUGACGGCUCAACCGUUAGGCUUUCGGGGGAUACUGCCAGGCUUGGAACCGGGAGAGGUAAGAGGUACUACAGGGGUAGGAGUGAAAUCUUGUAAUCCCUGUGGGACCACCUGUGGCGAAGGCGUCUUACCAGAACGGGUUCGACGGUGAGGGACGAAAGCUGGGGGCACGAACCGGAUUAGAUACCCGGGUAGUCCCAGCCGUAAACGAUGCUCGCUAGGUGUCAGGCAUGGCGCGACCGUGUCUGGUGCCGCGGGGAAGCCGUGAAGCGAGCCACCUGGGAAGUACGGCCGCAAGGCUGAAACUUAAAGGAAUUGGCGGGGGAGCAC
rnacentral:rRNA from 1 species